rnacentral:RNase_P_RNA from 1 species
CGAGUCGGCCGGGCGGCCGCGUACGGACCCGCUCUUCGGAGUGGUGAUCCGUCCGAGGAACGUCCGGACUCCACAGGGCAGGAUGCUGGGUAACGCCCAGUCGGGGUGACCCGCAGGAAAGUGCAACAGAGAGCAGACCGCCGAUGGCGGCUGGGCCGACCUGCAGAGGUCUGUCCGCCGCACAGGUAAGGGUGAAACGGUGCGGUAAGAGCGCACCAGCAUCCGGGGCGACCCGGAUGGCUCGGUAAACCCCAUCCGGAGCAAGGCCGAGCAGGGGGAGGGUGGUCCCGCCCGUCAGACCCCGGGUAGGCCGCUGGAGCCGGCGGGUAACCGCCGGCCGAGAUGGAUGGCCGCCAACGGACCGCAAGGUCCCGAACAGAAUCCGGCGUACAGGCCGACUCGCCAC